AAAUUGAAGAGUUUGAUCAUGGCUCAGAUUGAACGCUGGCGGCAGGCCUAACACAUGCAAGUCGAACGGUAACAGGAAGAAGCUUGCUUCUUUGCUGACGAGUGGCGGACGGGUGAGUAAUGUCUGGGAAACUGCCUGAUGGAGGGGGAUAACUACUGGAAACGGUAGCUAAUACCGCAUAACGUCGCAAGACCAAAGAGGGGGACCUUCGGGCCUCUUGCCAUCGGAUGUGCCCAGAUGGGAUUAGCUUGUUGGUGGGGUAACGGCUCACCAAGGCGACGAUCCCUAGCUGGUCUGAGAGGAUGACCAGCCACACUGGAACUGAGACACGGUCCAGACUCCUACGGGAGGCAGCAGUGGGGAAUAUUGCACAAUGGGCGCAAGCCUGAUGCAGCCAUGCCGCGUGUAUGAAGAAGGCCUUCGGGUUGUAAAGUACUUUCAGCGGGGAGGAAGGGAGUAAAGUUAAUACCUUUGCUCAUUGACGUUACCCGCAGAAGAAGCACCGGCUAACUCCGUGCCAGCAGCCGCGGUAAUACGGAGGGUGCAAGCGUUAAUCGGAAUUACUGGGCGUAAAGCGCACGCAGGCGGUUUGUUAAGUCAGAUGUGAAAUCCCCGGGCUCAACCUGGGAACUGCAUCUGAUACUGGCAAGCUUGAGUCUCGUAGAGGGGGGGUAGAAUUCCAGGUGUAGCGGUGAAAUGCGUAGAGAUCUGGAGGAAUACCGGUGGCGAAGGCGGCCCCCUGGACGAAGACUGACGCUCAGGUGCGAAAGCGUGGGGAGCAAACAGGAUUAGAUACCCUGGUAGUCCACGCCGUAAACGAUGUCGACUUGGAGGUUGUGCCCUUGAGGCGUGGCUUCCGGAGCUAACGCGUUAAGUCGACCGCCUGGGGAGUACGGCCGCAAGGUUAAAACUCAAAUGAAUUGACGGGGGCCCGCACAAGCGGUGGAGCAUGUGGUUUAAUUCGAUGCAACGCGAAGAACCUUACCUGGUCUUGACAUCCACGGAAGUUUUCAGAGAUGAGAAUGUGCCUUCGGGAACCGUGAGACAGGUGCUGCAUGGCUGUCGUCAGCUCGUGUUGUGAAAUGUUGGGUUAAGUCCCGCAACGAGCGCAACCCUUAUCCUUUGUUGCCAGCGGUCCGGCCGGGAACUCAAAGGAGACUGCCAGUGAUAAACUGGAGGAAGGUGGGGAUGACGUCAAGUCAUCAUGGCCCUUACGACCAGGGCUACACACGUGCUACAAUGGCGCAUACAAAGAGAAGCGACCUCGCGAGAGCAAGCGGACCUCAUAAAGUGCGUCGUAGUCCGGAUUGAGUCUGCAACUCGACUCCAUGAAGUCGGAAUCGCUAGUAAUCGUGGAUCAGAAUGCCACGGUGAAUACGUUCCCGGGCCUUGUACACACCGCCCGUCACACCAUGGGAGUGGGUUGCAAAAGAAGUAGGUAGCUUAACCUUCGGGAGGGCGCUUACCACUUUGUGAUUCAUGACUGGGGUGAAGUCGUAACAAGGUAACCGUAGGGGAACCUGCGGUUGGAUCACCUCCUUA
rnacentral:rRNA from 1 species